rnacentral:rRNA from 1 species
GACGAACCGUGCGAACGUUAUUCGGAAUCACUGGGCUUAAAGCGCGUGUAGGCGGGACGGCACGUCUGUCGCUGAAAUCCCCCGGCUUAACCGGGGAACUGGCGUAGAUACGACCGUCCUGGAGGGGCGUAGGGGGACCGUGGAACUUCCGGUGGAGCGGUGAAAUGCGUUGAGAUCGGAAGGAACGCCCGUGGCGAAAGCGAGGUCCUGGACGCCUACUGACGCUGAGACGCGAAAGCCAGGGGAG